GACGAACUUUGGCGGCGUGCUUAACACAUGCAAGUCGAACGGAAAGGCCCUGCUUUUGUGGGGUGCUCGAGUGGCGAACGGGUGAGUAACACGUGAGUAACCUGCCCUUGACUUUGGGAUAACUUCAGGAAACUGGGGCUAAUACCGGAUAGGAGCUCCUGCUGCAUGGUGGGGGUUGGAAAGUUUCGGCGGUUGGGGAUGGACUCGCGGCUUAUCAGCUUGUUGGUGGGGUAGUGGCUUACCAAGGCUUUGACGGGUAGCCGGCCUGAGAGGGUGACCGGCCACAUUGGGACUGAGAUACGGCCCAGACUCCUACGGGAGGCAGCAGUGGGGAAUAUUGCACAAUGGGCGGAAGCCUGAUGCAGCAACGCCGCGUGCGGGAUGACGGCCUUCGGGUUGUAAACCGCUUUCGCCUGUGACGAAGCGUGAGUGACGGUAAUGGGUAAAGAAGCACCGGCUAACUACGUGCCAGCAGCCGCGGUGAUACGUAGGGUGCGAGCGUUGUCCGGAUUUAUUGGGCGUAAAGGGCUCGUAGGUGGUUGAUCGCGUCGGAAGUGUAAUCUUGGGGCUUAACCCUGAGCGUGCUUUCGAUACGGGUUGACUUGAGGAAGGUAGGGGAGAAUGGAAUUCCUGGUGGAGCGGUGGAAUGCGCAGAUAUCAGGAGGAACACCAGUGGCGAAGGCGGUUCUCUGGGCCUUUCCUGACGCUGAGGAGCGAAAGCGUGGGGAGCGAACAGGCUUAGAUACCCUGGUAGUCCACGCUGUAAACGGUGGGUACUAGGUGUGGGGUCCAUUCCACGGGUUCCGUGCCGUAGCUAACGCUUUAAGUACCCCGCCUGGGGAGUACGGCCGCAAGGCUAAAACUCAAAGGAAUUGACGGGGCCCCGCACAAGCGGCGGAGCAUGCGGAUUAAUUCGAUGCAACGCGUAGAACCUUACCUGGGUUUGACAUGGAUCGGGAGUGCUCAGAGAUGGGUGUGCCUCUUUUGGGGUCGGUUCACAGGUGGUGCAUGCCUGUCGUCAGCUCGUGUCGUGAGAUGUUGGGUUAAGUCCCGCAACGAGCGCAACCCUUGUUCACUGUUGCCAGCACGUUAUGGUGGGGACUCAGUGGAGACCGCCGGGGUCAACUCGGAGGAAGGUGGGGAUGACGUCAAGUCCUCAUGCCCCUUAUGUCCAGGGCUUCACGCAUGCUACAAUGGCUGGUACAGAGAGUGGCGAGCCUGUGAGGGUGAGCGAAUCUCGGAAAGCCGGUCUCAGUUCGGAUUGGGGUCUGCAACUCGACCUCAUGAAGUCGGAGUCGCUAGUAAUCGCAGAUCAGCAACGCUGCGGUGAAUACGUUCCCGGGGC
rnacentral:rRNA from 1 species